GACGAACGCUGGCGGCGUGCCUAAUACAUGCAAGUCGAACGAGAGCGACCGGUUCUUGCACUAGUCAAUCUAGUGGCGAACGGGUGAGUAACACGUGGGUAACCUGCCCAUCAGAGGGGGAUAACAUCCGGUAACGGAUGCUAAAACCGCAUAGGUCUUCGAGCCGCAUGGCUUUGAGAGGAAAAGAGGCGCAAGCUUCUGCUGGUGGAUGUACCCGCUGUGCGUGAGGUAGUUGGUGAGGUAACGGCUCACGAAGGCCGUGAUGCAUAGCCGACCUGAGAGGGGGAGCGGCCACAUGGGGACUGAGACACGGCCCAAGCGCCUACGGGAGGCAGCAGUAGGGAAUCUUCCGCAAUGGACGCAAGUCUGACGGGGCAACGCAGCGUGAGUGAAGAAGGUUUUCGGAUCGUAAAACGCUGUUGUUAGAGAAGAACAAGUGCUAGAGUAACUGUUAGCGCCUUGACGGUAUCUAACCAGAAAGCCACGGCUAACUACGU
rnacentral:rRNA from 1 species